rnacentral:rRNA from 1 species
UACACAACUCUUAACGGUGGAUCACUCGGCUCGUGGGUCGAUGAAGACCGCAGCAAGCUGCGUGUCGGUAUGUGAAUCGCAAGAAUACCAGAUACAUCGACAAGUCGAACGCACAUUGCGG